UACGGAGGGGGCGAGCGUUGUCCGAAGUUACUGGGCGUAAAGCGCACGUAGGCGGCUUUGUAAGUUAGAGGUGAAAGCCCGGGGCUCAACUCCGGAACUGCCUUUAAGACUGCAUCGCUAGAAUUGUGGAGAGGUAAGUGGAAUUCCGAGUGUAGAGGUGAAAUUCGUAGAUAUUCGGAAGAACACCAGUGGCGAAGGCGACUUACUGGACACAUAUUGACGCUGAGGUGCGAAAGCGUGGGGAGCAAACAGG
rnacentral:rRNA from 1 species